AGAGUUUGAUCCUGGCUCAGGACGAACGCUGGCGGCGCGCCUAACACAUGCAAGUCGAACGGAGUCAAGAGGAGCUUGCUUUUCUUGACUUAGUGGCGAACGGGUGAGUAACGCGUAAGUAACCUGCCCUGGAGUGGGGGACAACAGUUGGAAACGACUGCUAAUACAGCAUAAGCCCACGGCCCGGCAUCGGGCUGAGGGAAAAGGAUUUAUUCGCUUCAGGAUGGACUCGCGUCCAAUUAGCUAGUUGGUGAGGUAACGGCCCACCAAGGCGACGAUUGGUAGCCGGACUGAGAGGUUGAACGGCCACAUUGGGACUGAGACACGGCCCAGACUCCUACGGGAGGCAGCAGUGGGGGAUAUUGCACAAUGGGGGAAACCCUGAUGCAGCGACGCCGCGUGGAGGAAGAAGGUUUUCGGAUUGUAAACUCCUGUCGUUAGGGACGAUAAUGACGGUACCUAACAAGAAAGCACCGGCUAACUACGUGCCAGCAGCCGCGGUAAAACGUAGGGUGCAAGCGUUGUCCGGAAUUACUGGGUGUAAAGGGAGCGCAGGCGGACCGGCAAGUUGGAAGUGAAAACUAUGGGCUUAACCCAUAAAUUGCUUUCAAAACUGCUGGCCUUGAGUAGUGCAGAGGUAGGUGGAAUUCCCGGUGUAGCGGUGGAAUGCGUAGAUAUCGGGAGGAACACCAGUGGCGAAGGCGACCUACUGGGCACCAACUGACGCUGAGGCUCGAAAGCAUGGGUAGCAAACAGGAUUAGAUACCCUGGUAGUCCAUGCCGUAAACGAUGAUUACUAGGUGUUGGAGGAUUGACCCCUUCAGUGCCGCAGUUAACACAAUAAGUAAUCCACCUGGGGAGUACGACCGCAAGGUUGAAACUCAAAGGAAUUGACGGGGGCCCGCACAAGCAGUGGAGUAUGUGGUUUAAUUCGAAGCAACGCGAAGAACCUUACCAGGUCUUGACAUCCGAUGCAUAGCUUAGAGAUAAGUGAAGUCCUUCGGGACAUCGAGACAGGUGGUGCAUGGUUGUCGUCAGCUCGUGUCGUGAGAUGUUGGGUUAAGUCCCGCAACGAGCGCAACCCUUAUUGCCAGUUACUACGCAAGAGGACUCUGGCGAGACUGCCGUUGACAAAACGGAGGAAGGUGGGGAUGACGUCAAAUCAUCAUGCCCUUUAUGACCUGGGCUACACACGUACUACAAUGGCGUUU
rnacentral:rRNA from 1 species